rnacentral:rRNA from 2 species
GGAUGACGUCAAGUCAUCAUGCCCCUUACAUCCUGGGCUACACACGUACUACAAUGCUACGGACAAAGGGCUGCAAGUUCGCGAGGACAAGCAAAUCCCAUAAACCGUGGCUCAGUUCAGAUCGUAGGCUGCAACUCGCCUACGUGAAGGCGGAAUCGCUAGUAAUCGCAGGUCAGCAUACUGCGGUGAAUACGUUCCCGGGCCUUGUACACACCGCCCGUCACACCAUGGAAGUUGGCCACG